UAUUUAUUAUCAUUCAGAAUUAAAAACCUUAGCGAGAAGUUUACAAAUCCUUUGUAGCUUAACACAGGGUACGAAAGAUCGAAAAUUAUUACAGCGCCGGUAGCACAAAGAAAACGAGUUAUUCUUUAGUUUAAACACAACUAUUUGACUUCAAUUCAAAGUAUUAUUACAUAUUAUAUGUAACAAUAUAUCAUUUCUUCCGUCUGUAUGCGAAAUAAUUAGCUACACUGCCCAAUAUUAGUCCGAAACAUUUGACCGUUUCGUCCCCUACGGAUUCGUACUUAGAGGAUUGCUUUUAGAUUUGAAUUUAUAAGGUAAACGAUUGUUCAAUAGAAGUUUUUGUAUGUAGUUUUGAUAGAUAUUUUUAACUUGUUCAUCGUUUAAUGUGUUACAACUUAUGUAAAAUAAAAUCAGGAAAGUAGAUUCCUCGGAAGCACCGUGAACAAUGCAAACUAAAAAUUGCAGACUGGGUUGUAUUAAUUUCUAUCAUCUGAUCAUUUUAAUCGGUGAGAGAUGGCCUCAUAUUUAUUUGUAAAUAACAGCUGCAUCAAUUGUCUUAUCUAUUUGACUUUUGCAAGUGAGACUGAUCAUUGAUAAGUGACCUGAUGGUCGACCGGACAAUAAAUUAUCAAGUGCUGUUUUCAUAUUGGAGGAGAUGAUUGCAUGUACGGGCAUUGGGCUGGAAAAUCAAACCCUGGCGAUUAAACACUGACUACCCAAAAACCCGAUGAAAGUGGAAGACCUGAAAGACUAUAUGACAAUGUGAUGUAAAGAAGUAUGGUGCAGCCAACUGAUGCUAGGCGGAAUCUGGCAAUAACAGAAAGAAUUUGAUAUAUGCCAAUAAGUUUGC
rnacentral:lncRNA from 1 species